rnacentral:rRNA from 1 species
GAUGAACGCUGGCGGCGUGCCUAAUACAUGCAAGUCGAGCGAACAGACGAGGAGCUUGCUCCUCUGACGUUAGCGGCGGACGGGUGAGUAACACGUGUAUACCCUACCUAUAAGACUGGUAUAACUUCGGGAAACCGGAUCUAAUACCGGAUAAUAUCUUGAACCGCAUGGUUCAAUAGUGAAAUACGGUUUUGCUGGCACUUCUAGAUGGAUCCGCGCCGCAUUAGCUAGUUGGUAAGGUAACGGCUUACCAAGGCAACGAUGCGUAGCCGACCUGAGAGGGUGAUCGGCCACACUGGAACUGAGACACGGUCCAGACUCCUGCGGGAGGCAGCAGUAGGGAAUCUUACGCAAUGGGCGAAAGCCUGACGGAGCAACGCCGCGUGAGUGAUGAAGGUCUUCGGAUCGUAAAACUCUGUUAUUAGGGAAGAACAAAUGUGUAAGUAACUAUGCACGUCUUGACGGUACCUAAUCAGAAAGCAACGGCUAACUACGUG